AAGGCAUGCGCCACCACUGCCUGGCUCAGCUGUUGGUUUCAAGCAAGCGCCUAAAUAAAUGUCUUUCUACUGCCUGUUGGCCAUUUCAGAAAUUUGAAAAUGUAACAAUCAAUUCAUUAGAAAGAAAUAUCU